UCAUUUUAAGAUUCUCAAUAAGACUUAAAAGUAUGGAAGCUUCUCAUUCAGUAAAGGCCAGCUCAAAGGGCCAGGUAGAGUACCGUAGUCACUGAUUUGAGAGGCGCCUUGAAGACAGCUACGCUGAGUCGAUGUUUAACUGUCGGAAGCUGAUUGAAGCGGGAUUAAAAUCAUCGCCUUCAUCAUCA